rnacentral:tRNA from 1 species
ACCGCGAUAGCUCAGUCGGUAGAUCAUCUGCUCGGCGGGCGGAGUGCAGCCGAUUCGCUUCCGGCUCGCGGCC